rnacentral:rRNA from 1 species
GAUCAUGGCUCAGGAUGAACGCUGGCGGCGUGCUUAACACAUGCAAGUCGAACGAAGCUCUUAGAACUGAGGAUUCGUCUGAAGUGAUAAGAUGACUUAGUGGCGGACGGGUGAGUAACGCGUGGGGAAUCUGUCCCGUACCGGGGGGAUAACACUUAGAAAUAGGUGCUAAUACCGCAUAAGCGCACGGUGUCGCAUGACACAGUGUGAAAAACUCCGGUGGUACGGGAUGAUCCCGCGUCUGAUUAGCCAGUUGGCAGGGUAACGGCCUACCAAAGCGACGAUCAGUAGCCGGCCUGAGAGGGUGAACGGCCACAUUGGGACUGAGACACGGCCCAAACUCCUACGGGAGGCAGCAGUGGGGAAUAUUGCACAAUGGGGGAAACCCUGAUGCAAGCGACGCCGCGUGAGUGAAGAAGUAUCUCGGUAUGUAAAGCUCUAUCAGCAGGGAAGAAAAUGACGGUACCUGACUAAGAAGCCCCGGCUAACUACGUGCCAGCCGCCGC